rnacentral:rRNA from 1 species
AAUGAACGCUGGCGGCGUGCUUAACACAUGCAAGUCGCACGAGAACGCUUCAGCUUGCUGAGGCUAGUAAAGUGGCGCACGGGUGAGUAACGCGUGGGUAACCUACCUCUGAAUCGGGGAUAACCCGCCGAAAGGCGAGCUAAUACCGGAUGACAUCCUUCUGGCUUUGGCCGGGGGGAUCAAAGGUGGCCUCUCCAUGGAAGCUACUGUUUAGAGAUGGGCCCGCGUCCCAUUAGCUAGUUGGUAGGGUAAUGGCCUACCAAGGCGACGAUGGGUAGCUGGUCUGAGAGGAUGAUCAGCCACACUGGAACUGACACACGGUCCAGACUCCUACGGGAGGCAGCAGUGAGGAAUUUUGCGCAAUGGGGGAAACCCUGACGCAGCAACGCCGCGUGAGUGAUGAAGGCUUUCGGGUCGUAAAGCUCUGUCAAGUGGGAAGAACCCACGUGGUGCUAAUACCACCAUGUGCUGACGGUACCACUGAAGGAAGCACCGGCUAACUCCGUG